GCCUAGUUAGCUUAGUUGGUAGUGCGUCUGCCUUGUAAGCGCUAGGCCGCGGGUUCGAUUCC
rfam:Asian citrus Psyllid, Diaphorina citri - Florida Strain, whole genome shotgun sequence.